UACGGAGGGGGCUAGCGUUGUUCGGAAUUACUGGGCGUAAAGCGCACGUAGGCGGCUUUGUAAGUUAGAGGUGAAAGCCCGGGGCUCAACUCCGGAAUUGCCUUUAAGACUGCAUCGCUAGAAUUGUGGAGAGGUAAGUGGAAUUCCGAGUGUAGAGGUGAAAUUCGUAGAUAUUGGGAAGAACACCGGUGGCGAAGGCGGCGACCUGGUCCGAUACUGACGCUGGGGCGCGAAAGCGUGGGGAGCAAACAGG
rnacentral:rRNA from 1 species